rnacentral:rRNA from 1 species
UACAGAGGGGGCAAGCGUUGUUCGGAAUUACUGGGCGUAAAGGGCGCGUAGGCGGUCUGUUAAGUCGAACGUGAAAUACCCGAGCUCAACUCGGGAACUGCGUCCGAUACUGGCAGGCUUGAAUCCGGGAGAGGGAUGCGGAAUUCCAGGUGUAGCGGUGAAAUGCGUAGAUAUCUGGAGGAACACCGGUGGCGAAGGCGGCAUCCUGGACCGGCAUUGACGCUGAAGCGCGAAAGCCAGGGGAGCAAACGGG